rnacentral:rRNA from 1 species
UACGGAGGAUGCAAGCGUUAUCCGGAUUUAUUGGGUUUAAAGGGUGCGCAGGCGGCGCGUUAAGUCAGCGGUGAAAUGUCCGGGCUCAACCUGGGCAGUGCCGUUGAUACUGGCGUGCUAGAGUACAGACGGCGCCGGCGGAAUGUGUCAUGUAGCGGUGAAAUGCUUAGAUAUGCCACAGAACACCGAUCGCGAAGGCAGCUGGCGAGGCUGGAACUGACGCUCAGGCACGAAAGCGUGGGGAUCAAAC